AGCUAACACAGUGGCUACCAUUCCACAAAUCUAUGCUCUGAAGUCACAAAUAUAUAUUUGUGCCUAUAUAUCACCAUUUUCCAUCACCAUUUAUUAUAAUUACAGGUAUCAGUUACAACAUGAUUCUUCUGCCAGGCACUGUGCCAAGUUUAGAAGUAGGACUCAGAAAACAUCAUUACAUUUUCAAAACAACCCUCUCAGGGUGUGUCUGAUUUCAUACUUCCGGUACCUUGAAGUGCUUUUGGUGCGUAGGAAUUAUACAAGGAAACUGAGCAUUUGAUGAGCUCACGGACAAUAAAUACAGGUGCUGUGGUUCUUGUGAACUGUGUGCUGAAAUGAAAUAGACUGGACCAGAAAAUAUUAAAGACAUGAGCAAAAAUAACAAAGUGACCCUCACCUGGACCAUGCUCUCAUGCUUGCUCACUUUGCCAGAGUGAGGAGCUGGUAAUAUUUUUAUAUGUCAAGUAAUACAAGGAUGGAGAGAGGGAGUUCAUAUUCAUGGACAAGCCUAUGAAUAAGUCAUGUGCAGUGUCAACUGCCACCUCAAAAACUCCAUUUCUGAUCUGGUCAUUGGAGGAAAGGGAUUGCAUGAAGAACUGACCAUUUAAACCCAAAGGGGUAAUACACUUGGAAACUAGAAAUAAUCACAGACUAAUCAAGACCGGACUCCUGCAGCCUCUCUGUAUUCCCCAGUGAUGGCGAAUCUCGCAGCACACUUAGGGAAGGCUGGGCGGAGCUGUGCUCUGACUUCCGAUUUCUGAUAGAAACACGAUUCCUUUUCUUCCAUAAGGUGAUUUGGAAAUAUGUAUAAAUAAAGAUAUGUUUCUUUGAAUUGAACAUGAAAAUUCAUCAGCUUACACUGUGGACAGUGCUCUACCAGUGGCACCUGCUUGUCAAAGUACGAAGUUUUUAUUGUAAAUUUCAAUGGUAGGUUCCUUAAAAGAAAAAUCUCAAAGCAAAGCAGGCUUUCAAAGUACAUUGGUGAGUUUUCAUCUGUAGCUUCAAGUUCCGUGAAUGGUGGUACUAAAUAUAAGUAAGAAUGUAGCAUGGCUGGAGAAGUGCCUCACAGACAUCCAGAGGAUCAGCUGUUUUGAGGCGGGGCUUGAGCAUCAAUAUUUCUCUGAGGUUCUUGAGGUGAUCCUAAUGGAUGCAGCAACAGGAGCAUGGGAGGAAGAAGUACUACUGGCUUCCUGCCUGUUGGGAAGCAGUGGGCUUAAUUGGGAGACACACUGGACUUUUACAAACAGCUCGAAUAGAGCAGCCUGCAUUUGAUGCUCAUUUCUACAGCAUGCAGAAACACCAUGGCUUUUCAUGUCGAUCUGACUACACAAAAAGACCAACCUCCUUGUGUUGCCAACAGAAUUUAGGUUUAUGCGAUAAUUAUAUCUUUCUUUGCACAUUAGUCAGUAGAGUAGCUUCUCACAUUAACUCUAGUCUCUUCUAAAAUUGAAGAAUAGAAUUAGUUUCUCAAUGUCUAUUUAGUUCUGAGGCACAAAAACUUUUUGACUUUAAACCCUAGACCAGAUAAAAACUGUAGAAACUAUAAUAAAUGUUGAAUUAAUCUGAAGAGUCAAGUCAUGUGAGUGGGUUCUUUUUCUUUUUUUUAGAAAUUAAUUUAUGUAUUUAUUUUUUACACUCCAUAUUUUAUUCCCUGCCCCCCGCCGCCUCGUUCACCUUCCGAGACUGUUCCACAUCCCAUACCUCCUCCCCAUGCCCCAGUCACCAUGUGGAUGUCCCCACUACCGACCCCAUCUGACAUCUAAACUCCCUGGGGCCUCCAGACUCUUGAGGGUUAGGUGCAAUAACUCUGAAUGAACAAAGCCCAAAC
rnacentral:lncRNA from 1 species